rnacentral:rRNA from 1 species
CCCUUAGAUGUUCGGGGCCGCACGCGCGCUACACUGAAGGAAUCAGCACGUCUUUCUCCUUGUCCGAAAGGACUGGGUAACCCGCUGAACCUCCUUCGUGCUAGGGAUUGGGGCUUGUAAUUCUUCCCCAUGAACGAGGAAUUCCCAGUAAGCGCGAGUCAUAAGCUCGCGUUGAUUACGUCCCUGCCCUUUGUACACACCGCCCGUCGCUCCUACCGAUUGAAUGCUCAGGUGAGCCAUUCGGACUUUCAUCAUGCUGGUUUCCAGUUUUGAUGAAGGAAAGUCUUGCGAACCUUAUCAUUUAGAGGAAGGAGAAGUCGUAACA